UCCCCGAGCGCUGCAGCCUGCAGCGGAACGCCCUGCUGCUCCUAGGGCCGCCUGGAGGCUGGCGGCCGGGUCGGGGGCGUCCCCCGCCCCGUGCGCCCCACCUGCCGGCCGCUGCUAGGAGCCCAGCUUCUCCAGAUCUCAGCCCACCCCGGGAUGCAGCCUCCGCGGCCAGGCUCUCAGCGCCGAAAAAGAUCGGAGGGUCCUAGCCCCCUCCAGGACGACAGGCAUUAGCCGAGCCGCCGGUGGCGCGGAGCCGCGUGUGCAUGGAACCGCAGCUUGCGCCGCGCGGGCUCGGCGGCGGCGCGGCCGGAGCGCUCAGAGCCCGGAGGCAGCGGCGCCGGAGGGGAAAAAGGCGGCCUGGCAGCGAGGAGCCCCGGGGCUCCGUCCCAGGUUUGCUUCUCAUUGGCAGGGUGGUCUGGGACAAAGGACUCCUCCUCUGCAUCCAACAACUGCAGGUGUUAACUGUGUGCCACGAGCUAGGGCUGCAUGUGCAAGGUCUCAGGGAAACCAGCAAAUACCUACGAUUAUUAUCCGGAAUGUACAUGGGAGGCGGCUGAUCACACAGCCGGAGUGCUGCUCAAAGUGUCGUUCCCGGAGCAGCAGCAGCAGCAGCAGCAGCAGCAGCAGCAGCAUCUGAUAAUUUGUUAGAAAUGUAGAUUCUUGGGUCCCACUCCAGACUAAAUAAUCCGAAACGCUAGGGAUGGGGCCCAGCAAGGUGUGUUUUUAAAAGUCCUUCAAGUGAUUCUGGUGCACGCUCAACUUUGAGAACCAUUGAACAAGCAGCGGCAGGGCUGGAGUCAGAAUACAGGACUGAGCUAUUGAGGAGGCCAGAGGUUUAACAGCGAUGGAGUCUGGAGAGAGGAGCCCAGAGGAGCAUGGAGAAGACCUUACCCAGCUACACUAGAUCAGGAGGAUGGACAUUCCCGACGGAGUAGAAAAGGGAGGCGUCCACUCACUCUAGACACGGUCACCCAUCUCCCCUAACUCCUAAUAGCUGAGUGAUUCCCCCACCCCCACCUCCCUUUCUUUCACACUAGAGACUCUUUGGGGCUCAAGUUCCUAAAGGGAGACUUUCUACAGAGGUUACCUUGAUCAUACGUUUUAGCCCCUUUACAGACCCUCAGGGCUCAUUCUAACUCACACUGCUCCAGCUGCCACCAUUCUUGUCACUUGUCUUGUUGGAUAGCUAUCUUUCUCAGGAUAAGGGCAUUUCCUAUUGAAGACUGGGGGAUGCUCCCCCUCAUUUCUCUCUUUCUGGGGGCUAGACACUCCUAUAUGAGUCUGACCCUAAGGUCUUUGCCCCACCCUUCCUCUAACUUUGCUCUGUGACCCUCAGGGAUUGUGUGAUCUUGACCUGGCCCUUGGAACUUAGUCAGGACCCAACAUGGUUUGAGGAUGAUGGGCUAGCCUGGACUCACAGCCUCCGUUCUUCCCCACGACAGAGUCAUGUCCACUAACCCCAUCCUGGAGUUCCUGAGAAGGUGGUGCCCAGCUUCCCAAGGAAGCAGCAUCGUCUGUGUUGUGUGCUCCACGUUCUGGAAGCAAAUUACUCAUCCUAUUUUACUUGGGCUGAUUCUGGUUUUAAACAUGACUUUGAGUCCUCAGAAUAAUCAGCUGCCUAAUUUGGAGGCACAUGUAGUCCGGAGGAUGUGUGACCCACCCACCAUGUGUCAUGCACUGAGCUGUUCCCUUCUGGCGGGAAGGACAGGCUCCCUGCCUUCCGCUCCAGGAAGGCCUGGAGAUGAACCCUGCAGAAUGGUGACUCUGACCUCAGCCUGCCUCUGGUGGCAGGCCACUUAAAAAAAUAGUUUUCUUUAAUUGAAAAAGUUAUAUAGGCACAUGGUUAAAAUUCAAACUCUAUAAAAAGAUAUAUGAUGAAAGAUACAUUUCCCCCCUCCCUGGACCUUGGUCCUUCUCUCCAGAAAUCUUCUCUGCAUAUUCAUGACCAAGGCUCUUGCCAUCAUUCAGCUCCUCUGCAGGACUUGCCUGAAUUCCCUGCUCUUCAGGAAGUCCUGUGAAUUUCAUUUUUUUCUCACAGUCUUAUUUUUAUUUCUUGGCCGUUUUGGAUUCUGUUUUUGGGUGUUCUGAGUUUCGCUUUUCACAUCAAUGUGCUUCUGGGGGUUCCCCCUUUAAGGCAGGAAGUGUGGUGGGGAGCAGAUCAGUUGAAGCAAACUGAGACAAGGACAGCUCUGUGAGGCUGUUGACGUCAGCUUCAGUCCUUAUCAAGUCUCUUCCUUCCACACGCAGUCCCUGGUGAGGGGACCUCUGGGUGGAGCGGAAUGAGGGAGACUUGCCCAUCUGGAGGGGGUGCUGGCACCACUUAGUGGGGAAAGUUUGCAGAAGAAGUACUCAAGAUGCCCAGGAUCUGGGGGCACCUUUUGCAAAAGGGAAGUUUAACCAUUGUGAAGAAUAAAACCUCUAAAUGCUUACAAGGUUUGCUGUGAGAACUCUUUCUGCCCCAAAUUACGAUAUCUUAUUGUUUAAUAGCUCUCUUAAAAGAAAGAAAGAGAUAUGCACAGUGAGCCUUCUGAAACGUAAUUGGAUCUCAACCUGAUAGUUAUGUUGUCCAAAGGGAAGUAAUAAAAGGGGUAAUAAAUGAUCCCCCAGUGCAAACUAUCCCCAGCUUACAGCAAAACCUCUGUUAUCUGUCCCUAAAAAGUGGGAGAGGAGGUUCCUGUCUUCUUAGACUUUGAAAAAACAGUGAAUUUCAUUAGGGUGAAAUCUAUCUGAUAGCAUCUGAAUGUUGUUUAAUAUUACUUUGGAGUGAAAGUAAAAGAGAGGCGGUGGAAUAACUCAAGGGCAGUUCUCAUGUCCUGAUGUCUGAUGUCCUCUGAAUGUCCUGAAAUUUUUGCCUCAUUGCUUAUUAGUUCCCAUGGAAUCUUAUUUAUUUUCAACAGGUAAAAUGUACAUAUGGUACUACAAUCAAAAUUCCAAAAGUAUAGUGAAGUCAGGACCUUAGAGGAGCAUGAAUGAACUCCUUCAUAUUUUCUACUGUCAGGAGAAGACAGACCUGAAGUGGUGCCUUGAUAUACGCACAUUCUGCCAGACUACAGUAAGAUGUGACAGGCAUAUAUUGUCAGAACAAGGGCUGCACUCAAACUUUGAAAAGAUAUUGGCUCCACUUAUUAAUGAUCAAGACUUAAAAUAUCCUGGAGUUUGGCUGUUGUAAGAGGUUUAUGGGAAACUAUUCUAGGCUUGCCAAACCACCAAGUGACUUCACAGGUACAAAACAUGGAUGCCCCAAGAACAGGAGAAGAACCCCCACUAGGGGGAGCUGGAGAUGGACUUUUAGGACCUUGGUGGUCUCUGUGAUGUGUUAUCCUGUCCUGGCAUUCAAUACCCUGGUGAACCCACAAGUGCUAAAUUUGAAGGCUUUGGGGGUCAGGAUAGCUGACCCCUCAGCUUUUGUUGGUCCCUGGGCUGUUAGUUUCAGCUCAACAUGGUGAUCCAUUCUUCUUGCCCGAUGGCCAAAGAAGGGUGUCUCCUGGGAGCCUCUGGGAAAGCUUUCAUUCCUUUGAACAAAACAGAUAUAAGAAGAAGACAGCCCCUCGGAAGCCUAGCUGAGGACAGAGCCCACCCAGUGACAGGGUGGAGCAGAGAGGCCACAGAACCCGGACCACUGCUGACGCUGUUGAUCUGGAGCUUGUAUUGCUCAUGGAGUCCACCCCACCAUGGCAUCUGUUAUGUGAGAUAACUCUGUGGGCUGUUCUGGAGCCAAGGGAGGGACCAAAGGGGAAAAUAGGGGGCACCAGCCCAAAGGGACCCAGACCUUCUCCAAGGACAUUCAGAUUUUGCUUUGAGUCUACAAAAACUAGAACUUUCUACAGAACCUGGAAUGCCACAGAGGAAACAAUCCCACCCGGGGAGUCAGAGAACCUUAGAGCCAAUAUGGCCCUAAACUUUUAAUUCCAGUGGCGGAGGAAGCCAUGUCUGAAUGGGAGCCUCAGCCGGCCGCCCGCGUAAGCAGCUUCUCUGAGACCUUGCAGAGGAGUGAAGACCUGGAGGGGGUGCUCAUGCACUCCUUGCUUUUGGAACCAGAGAAUUGGAGCCCAGGGAACAUUCUGGACGUGCCAGGUCACACCACCCAUUCUUCACAGGGUUCUCCCACAGCCAGAUGCUAUGGGAGAGGCCCAUCUCAGUAUGUGGGUGCUGGGAGGCCGCGAUAGAACUCCCCCAACCAAAGGAGAGACUCAGACUGACUGCACGGUACCCCUCAGCUGGCAGUUCUGUAAUGGUGCGCAAGUUGUUUACUCUCAGUUUUCUCUUUUUAAAAAAAGGAUAUUAAUGUGGAUCUGUUGUAAAAUUUAGAUGAGAUAAUGUAUGUAAAUCACUCGUAAUGUGCUCAGAACAUAGUAAACGCUCCAUUUUCAACGACAACAGUGACAACAACACAGGCACCCAGGGCCACUCCUCAGCCGCCAAGGAGAGCCACUGAGCUCUCCUAACCGUGCAGGGGCCCCUCAAGCCUGAAUGGACGGAUCCGUGAAGCCAACACAUGGCUGUCUUGGUAUGCGCCUGUAACUCCACCCAAAAGCUCUUUUUUGGAGUUUGGGAUGGAGCCUCAUAGCUCGUUGAUGAGCUUGGCUGACCUGUGAGGUUUCGUCUGGGUUUGAGGGUGGCCAAGAAUGACCACUUAGGUCCUACUCCAAGUUCUUUCAUUUGGGUCUACUCCCAAAGCAGCUGAAAGCAGUGCAAAGGAUGGAAAUGAGACCACGGUACAUCCACUGGGUGGCUGCUGCUCCCCGUGGCCUCUUCUGUCAAUUCACGGAGAAGCACUCCCCAGAGUUUGGUGAUGUUGGCAGCCAGUGAGGAGCAAGAUGUCUGCCUGACCGGAGGAGCACCGAGCUGCAGGUUCGCUGCCUCUCUACCUCGGCCACAUCACACCCAGGUCUAAAGGCCAAGCCUUGAAAUUCUUCCUGUGUCAGCCUUGGAGCCGUCAGCCCUUGUCUGUACCUGUGCUGCACGCAGGAGGUUGUUAGUCCAUCAGGAGCCUUAUGAAUUGUUAGAAGAUCCCCCUUCCUCUGGGCAGAUGCAGACCUGGGUCAGGGCACAGCGCGCCAUGCUAAGCCUGUGCAGGGCUGAAGCCGCACGACCACCUGUGCAGCCGUGGCUGCAGCCCUGGGAGUCCCCAUCUCUGUGCGGGGCCCGCUGCAGUGACCUCUGCCUUGGGGUGGGCAAAGGAAGUGGGCUUCCCUCGGUGUGAAGCCGGACAUAUGGGCACACUCUAGGGAUCUUCCUACUUAGCCACCGUUGCUGUUUGCUGUCAGAGCAGACCCAAAUCUGAUACCAGGAGCUGCAUGAAGGAGACAGAUCACUGAUCUGGAACAUGGGACUGCCUGCUGAACAUCAAAUUAGCAGACUCCUGACCAAAGGCAGGAGAGACGGGGGACGUGACUGUGUACAAGGACAGACAGAGAUCAGGAGAGGGCCAGUCAAGUGUGAAGCAUCUGCUCUCUUCUCUGUCUAGCAUCUCUUCAGGGAACUACCUUCCUUCGAUUCUCAGUCCAUGAAGUUCAGAUGAAGCCCACCUCACCCCCAGCACCAAGGGUGGAUCUGUGAUAUGUACAUCAUAUCUAUGUGCGCAUAUCCUUUGGCCACCAGCAUUGGUUUAGGGUUAGGCACAUUACCCAAGCCAGGCUACUCAGCCUUGUCUGAGAUAUUUCCUGGAACUAGCAAAAAAGAUGACCCCACCCCACAUGGCCGCUGAUGGAAUCAUUAGCUGGGAAAAUGAUGUAAGUUUAGAGCAGCCAAUGGCUAUCCUUGCUAUUACAUGAGGAAGGAGAGUCAGCCUGAGCAUGAAGUCAAUCCUGAGAAAGCAGAGAAUAAAGGUAAAGAGUAAGAGGACUCUAAUGAUAUAUUUUGGACUCCUGGAUCCUGCUGUACCUGAAGUCAUUUAUUCCUAGACUUCUCCCUUCUUUCACUUUCUUUUCUUUCCCUCUGUUUACUCUCUCUCUCCCUUUCUUCUUUUGGUUGAAAUUUGUUUGAAUGUUUUUGUUACUUGCAACUGAAAGAACCUGACCAGUAAACAAUGUAUGCACUGAA